GAUGAACGCUGGCGGCGUGCUUAACACAUGCAAGUCGAACGGAAAGGCUCCUCCUUGCAGGGGUACUCGAGUGGCGAACGGGUGAGUAACACGUGGGUGACCUGCCCUGCACUUCGGGAUAAGCCUGGGAAACUGGGUCUAAUACCGGAUAGGACGAUGGCUUGGAUGCCAUUGUGGAAAGCUUUUUCGGUGUGGGAUGAGCUCGCGGCCUAUCAGCUUGUUGGGGGGGUAGUGGCGUACCAAGGCGCAGACGGGUAGCCGACCUGAGAGGGUGUACGGCCACCAUGGGACUAAGAUAGGGCCCAGACUCCUACCGGGGGCAACAGUGGGAAAUAUUGCACAAUGGGCCCAAGCCUGAUGCAGCGGCGCCGCGGGCGGGAUGUCGGCCUUCGGGUUAUAAACAGCUUUCGGCUGGGACGAAGCGCUAGUGACGGUACCGGGGAAAGAAGCACCGGCUAACUUCGUG
rnacentral:rRNA from 1 species